GUUCGUUGUAAUUGGACUAACGUUAAAAAUCAAUAUAGAAAUUUAACAGUGUGGUUUUCCCAGAAAUCUAUUUUAAGUUUCAGUUUAAUUUCUUAAAACUACACGUAGACGCCAGUAAUUGUCAGUGAUAUUUAACGUAAUUGACAAGAUGAUUAGUUACCUGCGAGGUUAUGAACGAGGAGAAAGUUUGGAGAAGUUUAUAGAUAGAAAGAUCCGGCCAACAAAUGAUUUUAAAGAUCGUGUUAAUCAAACGCUCGAUGAAUUAGUUCGAUAUUUACACAAGAUGCCUGGUUAUAGUAUUCGGGAAGUCGUCAAGAGUGGUUCGUUGGGUAAGGAAACAUCUGUUCAGAGUGAUGCUGAUGCUGAUAUGGUAGUUUUCUUCAAUGGUUAUAAGGAUAUUGAGAGUUUGAUUGCAGAUAAACCUCAAAUUAUUAGUGAUAUAUUGAAAUAUAUGUGUAAUCCCAACCCAGGAUGGUUCAGUUGGCCAUUUUCGUCCAAACCCGAAUGGAUUGACACCAUAAAGGUGUUAAAAUGUAACGAACAUUUCAUCAAGUUUAAUGUAUACGUCCAGUACUAGGGUAGAAGUGAGCCCGUUGAAGUGGACGUUCUACCUGCAAUAGAUGUAGUCGCCAGACAUGGUGGGAAUAUGUUGGCUGUAUGCCAAGAAGUGAAAAAUAAAUCAAGUGAUGUCUGGAGCCACUACUCCGUUUGUUUCUGUAAAGAACAACUGGCAAUGAUUCGACCAAAACCAGCUAAAGUUAAAGACUUGAUUCGUUUACUUAAAUACUGGUACAAGACUAAUAGGCUAAACAUGGCGUCGUAUUGUUGUGAGGUAAUGGGGCUGUAUAUUUAUGACGAACAUCUGAAUAGUACAACUGACUUUUAUAUGAAAACUGGUUUUUAUAAAGCUAUGGAGUUGUUUAAGUCCUAUGGAGAACUGCAGAACACAAUACCUGGAAUCUAUAACACGGAUAAUAAUUGGUCACGUGACGUCUCUAAAACAAGGUAUGUUCUUGAUCCCGAUAAUCCCUUCACUGACACAUCUUCACUUGACGCCCACAAUAUAGAAAUGUGUGCUUUGGCCACCUUGAAUUGGUUACAAAAUGUACCUUUGAAAUCCGAGCGUUAUGGUUUGUUAUGGUUUUUAAUCGGAGCUGUUGUAACUUGUUUUACUUUACUACGGUAUUUUGGCUCUCUCUAAUUGUGUAUUCUGUUCUCAAAUUCUGUACUAUCCACGAAACUACUAAUCAUACAAUAGACAUUAGAAAAUACGAUAUCUAUUACAGAAAACAAUCAGCUGUCUAAAAUACCAAUACCGAUAUCUAGUUUAUUAUAGAAAACAAUCAGCUGUCUAAAAUACAGAAGAAUUAAGUAAAUGUACAUUUGUAUCAAUCAAUCGUUCAAAAACAAAAUCAAUGCUGAUUUCAGAAAACACAAAAAAAAUCAGAAAAAUCUAACUUUAUCACUUCAUGGUGAGACAAUUGAGACGGUUACUACCGCAAAAUUACAUGGAAUUCAAAUUGACCAAGACCUUAAUUGAAAAGGCAACGUGAAGUUGGCACGCUAUUCGGGAUUCGGGAUUCGCGAAUCACAAAUACGGUGCUGGCUCGUUAUUCGGGAUCCGCCAAUAACGAACAAAAUAGGGCAGCAAGAAUUACGCUUGAUGCAACAAUUGAAACUCCGUGCACCUUUUUAUUUACUAAACUCGGUUGGCUUACCCUUACAUAGAGGAUUCUUGAUAAUAAAAUUGCCUUAUCAUUCGAAAUUAUUACAUUUAAUACUCCACUGUAUCUAAACUCCUAUAUCAUUGACAAAUCUCUUGUUUCCAAAACUGAUAUCUUGCUCCGUUCACAGACCAGUAAAUCCCUACUCCUUCCGAAAUGCAGACCGGAAUCCAUGAAACGCACUUUUCAUUAUUCUGCAUUUCUUUUAUGGAACAAUCUGCCUUUUUAUAUAAAGAUGUGUAAAAAUGUUGAAAAUUUUAAGAUUAAACUGAAAACUCAUUUAUAUUGAGCACUGCAGAAACCAUAAUAUUCAACUGAUGACAUACUUAUUAUUUUUCGUGUAUUUUUAAUUUGCAACUGCAUUCUAUCUUAUUUGGUGUGUACUUAUAGUGUUCUUCCUAUAUUUUACUUGUAUAGUAUAUAUGUUUUGUAGUUUACGAGUGACUUCCCAAAUUUCUCACUUUAAAAUAUUAUUGCAUUUCAAAAUGAUUUUGAAUUUAUCCUGAUAUUACAUGUAUAUAUGUCUUUGGAGCUUAGGAGGGACUCCUGGAAGAUUGGGUUUUUUUGCAAACUAAAUAAGUUGC